rnacentral:lncRNA from 1 species
CCUCUAAAGCAAAACUUGAGUCGGCUCAUUAGAGCAUCAUGUCUCUCGAAUUUUAAGUCAAGAGCAAGAAGCAUUCCAUCAGUCAGCUUCGGAGGGAGAGAGAUGGAUGCAUCGAGGAGUUGGAAGCAGAGCACAGAAGGUAUCGGGCCACCAUGGAGAGGUUGGCAUUGGCCGAUGCAGAGUCAGCCUCCACGAAGGCAGAAGCUG